rnacentral:tRNA from 1 species
GGGCCCGUCGUCUAGCCUGGUUAGGACGCCGCCCUCACACGGCGGAGGCCCGGGGUUCAAAUCCCCGCGGGCCCACCA